GCCCUUGGAUGAGCCCGCGGCCUAUCAGCUUGUUGGUGGGGUAAUGGCCUACCAAGGCUUUGACGGGUAGCCGGCCUGAGAGGGUGACCGGCCACACUGGGACUGAGACACGGCCCAGACUCCUACGGGAGGCAGCAGUGGGGGAUAUUGCACAAUGGGCGCAAGCCUGAUGCAGCGACGCCGCGUGAGGGAUGACGGCCUUCGGGUUGUAAACCUCUUUCAGUUGGGAAGAAGCCUUUCGGGGUGACGGUACCUUCAGAAGAAGCACCGGCUAACUACGUGCCAGCAGCCGCGGCCGAAGGGC
rnacentral:rRNA from 1 species